rnacentral:lncRNA from 1 species
CAAUUUUGGAUUGUUCGGUUAAAAUAAUAACUUUGUAUUAUUAUAGUCGGAAAUGGUUUAAGAUACCUUAAGAUUUGAUAUCCUAUUGUCAAACUAAUCUAGGAGAUCCAUAUUUAACAAACAUAAAGCAAUCUUAACUUAAAUAAAAACACUUGCUGCUAUAGUUUGCUAAGUUUAGUUUUUAGACAUUACUUGCUGGUUGUUUACAACAGCUUGUUUCAAUAUCAAAUUAAAUUAUAGCAACAAACAAGUUU